UACAAAUUUAUUCUCUUUGACAAACACCCCCUCAAACCACUAGAUGCUAAAGAAUGACUAGCUAAACUUGUGCCAUUGUUAUGGAAAAUAUUCCUUAAAAACUUAAUAUCAGAGAUGGAUGCAAUGAUCUUUGUGAAAAAAAAUCUAGACCUAAUGAAUUCAACAUCCACAAAUCUAAAAGAAUAAUAAAAACAGAUAAAAAACCUCUCUAGCCAUUUUGGCACAAUCAUAAGUUGCAAAUAUUUUUAACAAUAUAUUUGAUUGUAGAAGACAUGUGUUGCUAUUGAUGUUCUUGUAGUCUCUAAAUAUCUGUCAUACAAUCUACAACUUCUUUGGAAAUGGAUGUUACUUGAUUUUUAAAAAAAAAAACAUA
rnacentral:lncRNA from 1 species